AACGAACGCUGGCGGCAUGCCUAACACAUGCAAGUCGAACGAGACCUUCGGGUCUAGUGGCGCACGGGUGCGUAACGCGUGGGAAUCUGCCCUUGGGUUCGGAAUAACAGUUAGAAAUGACUGCUAAUACCGGAUAAUGUCUUCGGACCAAAGAUUUAUCGCCCAGGGAUGAGCCCCGCGUAGGAUUAGCUAGUUGGUGAGGUAAAGGCUCACCAAGGCGACGAUCCUUAGCUGGUCUGAGAGGAUGAUCAGCCACACUGGGACUGAGACACGGCCCAGACUCCUACGGGAGGCAGCAGUGGGGAAUAUUGGACAAUGGGCGAAAGCCUGAUCCAGCAAUGCCGCGUGAGUGAUGAAGGCCUUAGGGUUGUAAAGCUCUUUUACCCGGGAUGAUAAUGACAGUACCGGGAGAAUAAGCUCCGGCUAACUCCGUGCCAGCAGCCGCGGUAAU
rnacentral:rRNA from 1 species